CCGCCCCACAUCGACCAGCUGGACGGGGUGGACGACGGGGAGCGGGGACGGCGCGGGGACGGCGAGGACCUGCCCUCCGACAUCGUGGAGUUCGUGCUGCGCAACAUGGCGGGCAGCAUGGCCAAGGGCGGCGCGACGCCCGGCGCCAACGGGGACAACGGCGCCUGGGGGGCGGGGGGGGACGGGCGGCGGCAGCAGCUCCUCAACGCCAGGGGGACGCGGGACGGGCGCGCCUGGCACCACGGGGACGGCACCCGGGGUCACGGAGGUGGCACCUGGGGAAGCGUCACCCGCGGAGAUGGCGCCCACCACCACGGAGAUGGCGCCCAUGGAGAUGGCGCCCAUGGAGAUGGCGCCCACCACCAUGGAGGUGGCACCUGGGGAAGCGUCGCCCAUGGAGAUGUCACCCAUCACCAUGGAGAUGGCACCCACCACCAUGGAGAUGGCACCCACGGAGGUGGCACCUGGGGAAGUGUUGCCCAUGGGGAUGUCACCCACCACCAUGGAGGUGGCACCCAGAGCCAUGGAGAUGGCACCCACCACCAUGGAGAUGGCACCCACGGAGAUGGCACCCACCACCAUGGAGGUGUCACCCAUGGAGAUGGCACCCACAGAGGUGGCACCUGGGGAAGUGUCGCCCAUGGAGAUGUCACCUGUAACCAUGGAGACGUCACCCGUGGAGAUGUCACCCGCAACCGUGGAGGUGUCACCCAUGGACAUGUCACCUGGGGAAGUGUCACCCACGGAGAUGCCACCCAUGGAGAUGUCACCCACAGAGAUGUCACCCAGAGCCAUGGAGGUGUCGCCCA
rnacentral:lncRNA from 1 species